rnacentral:rRNA from 1 species
UACGGGGGGGGCAAGCGUUGUUCGGAAUUACUGGGCGGAAAGGGCGCGUAGGCGGCCAACUAAGUCGGAUGUGAAAUCCCCAGGCUCAACUUGGGAACUGCAUCCGAUACUGGAUGGCUUGAAUUCGGGAGAGGGAUGCAGAAUUCCAGGUGUAGCGGUGAAAUGCGUAGAUAUCUGGAGGAAUACCGGUGGCGAAGGCGGCAUCCUGGACCGACAUUGACGCUGAGGAGCGAAAGCGUGGGGAGCAAACAGG